AAAAUUGGUCUAAUAUAUUUCCAACAUAUGACUAUGUUUCAGGUAUACUGUUAACUUAGUUGUGUUCUUUAUCGAGAAAACAUUGCCAGAAUUGCCUGAUCGUUCAAAUUUGGGUCCAUUACUCCCGUUUACCAAGGAUGGCUGGAUGAAGGAAGAGAAUCACAAACUUUUGAAUGGAAAUUCUGGAGAUUCGGCUGAAAGGAGGCCAAAGACUCAGAGCAAUGGCAAGACCAUGGAAAAUGGAAAUUCACUGCAUGUUGAAACAGUGAUUAAUGGCGUAUAGAUUAUGGUUGUGGAAGAGACAGCAUUGCAGUUAUUCAAGUUACUCACUGCUCUCUCAGUUUACUACUUGGUCUUUGGCGAAUCAUGUCUGCUAUUCUUGAGGAUCGGUAGACCUCAUUUGUAAUCUAGAAAUGGAGUUUGGGUUAUGCUUUUCAAUGUUUUAAUAGUCCUGCUCCUUAGGUGGAUUGCAAAGUGCAGUGUCCCCAUUAAAAUUCAUAUCUUGUCAUGAGAUUCUAGUUAUUUUUAAUUGCUUCAAUCAUUUUUUUUU